AAGAGGCUGUGUGGCUCACUGUGC
rnacentral:siRNA from 1 species